rnacentral:rRNA from 1 species
UUACCUGGCCUUGACAUACUAAGAACUUCCAGAGAUGGAUUGGUGCCUUCGGGAACUUAGAUACAGGUGCUGCAUGGCUGUCGUCAGCUCGUGUCGUGAGAUGUUGGGUUAAGUCCCGCAACGAGCGCAACCCUUUUCCUUAUUUGCCAGCGGGUUAAGCCGGGAACUUUAAGGAUACUGCCAGUGACAAACUGGAGGAAGGCGGGGACGACGUCAAGUCAUCAUGGCCCUUACGGCCAGGGCUACACACGUGCUACAAUGGUCGGUACAAAGGGUUGCUACCUCGCGAGAGGAUGCUAAUCUCAAAAAGCCGAUCGUAGUCCGGAUCGCAGUCUGCAACUCGACUGCGUGAAGUCGGAAUCGCUAGUAAUCGCGGAUCAGAAUGCCGCGGUGAAUACGUUCCCGGGCCUUGUACACACCGCCCGUCACACCAUGGGAGUUUGUUGCACCAGAAGUAGGUAGUCUAACCGCAAGGAGGACGCUUACCACGGUGUGGCCGAUGACUGGGGUGAAGUCGUAACAAGGUAGGCGUAGAUGA